rnacentral:rRNA from 1 species
GAAGUAAAAGUCGUAACAAGGUCUCCGUUGGUGAACCAGCGGAGGGAUCAUUACUGAGUUUACGCUCUAUAACCCUUUGUGAACAUACCUAUAACUGUUGCUUCGGCGGGUAGGGUCUCCGCGACCCUCCCGGCCUCCCGCCUCCGGGCGGGUCGGCGCCCGCCGGAGGAUAACCAAACUCUGAUUUAACGACGUUUCUUCUGAGUGGUACAAGCAAAUAAUCAAAACUUUUAACAACGGAUCUCUUGGUUCUGGCAUCGAUGAAGAACGCAGCGAAAUGCGAUAAGUAAUGUGAAUUGCAGAAUUCAGUGAAUCAUCGAAUCUUUGAACGCACAUUGCGCCCGCCAGCAUUCUGGCGGGCAUGCCUGUUCGAGCGUCAUUUCAACCCUCAAGCUCUGCUUGGUGUUGGGGCCCUACAGCUGAUGUAGGCCCUCAAAGGUAGUGGCGGACCCUCCCGGAGCCUCCUUUGCGUAGUAACUUUACGUCUCGCACUGGGAUCCGGAGGGACUCUUGCCGUAAAACCCCCCAAUUUUCCAAAGGUUGACCUCGGAUCAGGUAGGAAUACCCGCUGAACUUAAGC